CCCAUCGAUUCCUCUCUCCUUCGCUCCUUCCUUCUGUCCCCCAUUCCAAUAGACUUAUUUUUGCUUUGAUUUAGAUCAGCAGGAGCUCUCCCCCUCUCCAGAUCCAUGCACGGCGACGACCAGGACCCCACGCUCAAGCCCCACGAGCUGGACGAGGUCGACAGCGAGGUCAUCUGCCCUGCCCACCAUGAUUUCCCAUAGAACAAGAAGGUGCCUCAUGUGGAUUUUAUGGCUUAAGCCAAGAGGAGAAAGAAAGGGCUCUGCAUAUGAAAAGAUACCAACAUUAUUGUUUCCAUGAAAUUGGUUGGAAGAAAAGAAGAAGAUCCAGAGAAGAUCUUAGUAAUAAGAUAGUUUUUAGGAAAAU